rnacentral:rRNA from 1 species
AGGCGCUGCUAAUACUGCAAGUCGAGCGAACAGACGGGAACUUGCUCCCGGAUGCUUAUCGCCGCACAGGUGUGUAUCACGUGGGUAUCCUGCCUGUAAGACAGGGAUAUCUCCGGGAAACCGGAGCUCAUACAGGAUAGUACCUUGAACCGCAUGGGUCUCGGAUGAGAGACAGUGUCGGCUGGCACUUUCUGAUGGACCCCCCGCGCCUUAACUAAUUGGGGGGGUAAUGGCUCACCCAGGGCACCAUGCCUAACCCAACUGAAAAGGUGAUCCGCCACACUGGGACUGAAACCCCGCCCAAACUCCUACCGGAGGGAGCCGUAAGGAAUCUUCCGCCAUGGACCAAAGUCUGACCGAACAACCCCCCCUGAGUGAUGAAAGGUUUCCGAUCGUAAAACUCUGGUGUUAAGGAAAAACAAGUGCGAUAGUAACUGCUCCCCCCUUGACCGUACCUAACCCAAAAGCCCCCGCUAACUACCUGCCAACAGCCGCGGUAAUACCUAAGUGGCAAGCGUUUUCCCGAAUUAUUGGGCCUAAAGGGCUCCCAAGCGGUUUUUUAAAUCUGAUGUGAAAACCCCCGGCUCAACCGGGGAAGGUCAUUGGAAACUGGGAAACUUGAAUGCAAAAAAAGAAAGUGGAAUUCCACGUGUAACGGUGAAAUGCCUAAAAAUGUGGAAGAACACCCNUGGCCAAAGCCACUUUCUGGUCUGUAACUGACCCUGAAGAGCCAAAGCCUGGGGAACCAACCGGAUUAAAAUACCCUGGUAGUCCACGCCGUAAAACCAUGAAUGCUAAAUGUUAAGGGGGUUUCCGCCCCUUAAUGCUGCAGCUAAACGCAUUUAAGCACUUCCGCCUGGGGGAAUACCGAUCGCCAAGACUUGAAAACUNCAAAGGAAAUUGACCGGGGGCCCNCCACAAGCCGGUGGGAAGCAUGGUGGGUUUAAUUUCNAAANCCACCCCCGAAGAAACCUUUACCAAGUUCUUGGACAUCCUUCUGAACAACCCCUAAAAAAUAGGAGGUUUUCCCUUUCCGGG